AUUGAACGCUGGCGGCAGGCCUAACACAUGCAAGUCGAGCGGAGCGGCGGACGGGUGAGUAAUGCCUAGGAAUCUGCCUGGUAGUGGGGGAUAACGUCCUGAACCGGGCGCUAAUACCGCAUACUCUCAGAUGAGCCUAGGUCGUAUUCGCUAGUUGGUGGGGUAAAGGGCUACCACGGCGACUAUCCGUAACUGGUCUGAGAGGAUGAUCAGUCACACUGGAACUGAGAAACGGUCCAGACUCCUACGGGAGGCAGCAGUGGGGAAUAUUGGACAAUGGGCGAAAGCCUGAUCAAGCCAUGCCGCGGGUGUUAAGAAGGUCUUCGGAUUGUAAAGCACUUUAAGUUGGGAGGCGUUACCAACAGAAUAAGCACCGGCUAACUUCGUGCCAGCAGCCGCGGUAAUUC
rnacentral:rRNA from 1 species